AAAAGAAAAAAGAGAAACGGUGGCGUCAGUCUAGAAUCCCAGAUCUACAGCUGUCCACAGGAUAGCUUCCUUGUGCUUCUCCAAACAUAAUUUUUAAGAAAUGCAAGAAUGUCCAGAAUGCAAAGCUGGGACGGCUUUUCCAGCAGCUCGGGGAUCUGAAGCCCCUUCUCGACAAGAGUCCUUCUUCAAGCCCAGCCUCAGCAGAGGUUCUCGGAGCUGUCUCUCCUCCAAAGGAUGAGGUCAGCUUCCUGUGUGUGCUUGUUCUCUCUCUCUCUCUCUCUCUCUCUCUCUCUCUCUCUCUCUCUCUCUCUCUCUCGUGUGUGUGUAUGUGUGUGUAAGCUGUUGGAUCACAUGUAGACUAUUCGUAAUCCAGCACACUGUGGGAUUGCAGCUCCCAAUACUAUUAAAGAAGCAACAAAUGAACAGGCAUCAUUUUUUGAACUCAGAAUCCAUUGAUACAAUGAAACCAAGGACAGUUGGGUUUGUUACUAAACUGUGUGUAAUCUUGUUUGUGUUUAACUUUUAUUUCUGUCUCCCUGAUUACAGACAGCCAGUGUUAAUCGUCAAGCGUUUCUGUUUUACAUGGAUUACAGAGACACAAAUGGUUGGAUGACGACAAUUUGCCCCUUCCAUGAAAAUUGCAGAGCUAGGCCAAGGAGCAGCCCUACUAAGUGCUACUUAGUGAGGAGGGAAAUGAACUUUUUAAGAAUCCCUCGUGACUUUUAGCUCAACCAAAUUUUAUCAUUGCUUGUAAAACCUUCAAAAUCAAGUUUCACCCCUUAAAAUUCUCCACCACUUAUCCCAAAUAGUAUAUUCAGUCAGACUACCCAGAUGAAGUUUGAUAUGCAAACAAUGUUUAGGAUGUAAAUUUUGCUGGGGAAAUACGAGAGAGAGAGAGAGAGAGAGAGAGAGAGAGAGAGAGAGAGAGAGAGAGAAGAGAGCACACGAGCAGUUUUUGACAUGUUUGAAUCUCUAGGAUCAAUAUCCAGCACU
rnacentral:lncRNA from 1 species